GCGUGAGUUGAGAAAACUGGAAAAUGUUCCGGUGGGAUCAACUUUGUAGGCGAAGAAUCCGAUAAAGCUGAAAGGUGUUACGGAUCGGAGCCGCCAAUUCAAAGUUGUCAGCACAAGAAGCUCCAUCCUACGUAUUGUUCUAGGUUCAAAUAUAUAUUUUGCUCCUUCAAUCUGCAGAUCCACGAAUGAAGGAACAAUGGGUUCCUCCAUUUUAGCUGCAAGUGAUAAACAAGCCACUGAAAGAAGCUGCAAUGGCCACCCAUUUGUUUCCGGCAAGCGGCGAGAAUAAAGGAAUCGAUCCAAGUAGUUGACGGAAAGGUAUGCAGUGAGUGGUUGAAAACCGUAAUAUGCUU
rnacentral:misc_RNA from 1 species